rnacentral:rRNA from 1 species
GACGAACGCUGGCGGCGUGCUUAACACAUGCAAGUCGAACGGAAAGGCCCUGCUUUUGUGGGGUGCUCGAGUGGCGAACGGGGGAGUAACACGUGAGUAACCUGCCCUUGACUUUGGGAUAACUUCAGGAAACUGGGGCUAAUACCGGAUAGGAGCUCCUGCUGCAUGGUGGGGGGUGGAAAGUUUCGGUGGUUGGGGAUGGACUCGCUGCUUAUCAGCUUGUUGGUGGGGUAGUGGCUUACCAAGGCUUUGACGGGUAGCCGGCCUGGGAGGGUGACCGGGGACAUUGGGCCUGAGAGAGGGACCAGAAUCCUACGGGAGGCAGCAGUGGGGAAUAUUGCACAAUGGGCGGGCGCCUGAUGCGGCAGCGCCGGGUGCGGGAUGACGGGCUUUGGGUUGUAAACCGCUUUCGCAUGUGCCGAAGCGUGAGUGACGGUAAUGGGUAAAGAAGCACCGGCUAACUACGUG